UGCUGAGUCCCGGGCUUCCCCGAACUUGGCUCUCCAGGCUGCAAUCGACGGAGGCCGGCCUUGCUUAUCUCCCCUCAUGGCCGAUCAAGGAGGCGAACAGUGUCAAUCUGUCAUCGACACCUCAGGGUCUAAAAAACAAGCAUCGGGUCCUUCUCCUCCAUGAAUCAGAUGUCAACAAGGCAACACGAAUCUGCAUGAGGCUGAACAUAAAAGAAAGAAAAUGGAGACAACUCGACGAGUUUAGGAACAACAUGUCAUCGACGAUGAGCACUUUUCCAGUCAGGGAAAGGAUUUUUUAUGCCACGCUAGGACUUUUCGUGCUAUGGAUUGAAAUAGUCCAGUGUCCAGUAUUAUGGGAUUCACUCAAUUCAAUGCUGCUUCAUACUUCAGAGUUCAGACAUUUAUAUGUGCACAACAUGUGCCUUCUAAUUACGAGGCGUCUAUUGUUUCUGAAUUUUGGGGUGGCAGCAACAAGGGCGAGGAGCAUGAUCGUGACACAGAGAUGGGCAAGUGCAGGGAAUGCAGGCAGCGAAAAGUUGUUGCGUUGCGGUUACCAACUACAGGGCCAAAUAUGUCGGCAGCCAUCCGCGCAUUAACUAAUUUAUGGCAGUGCUUUUGCUGGAGAUGGAAAUUCAUAGAGAUGACGCCCUAUUGAUAGAGGCGAGUGGACUGGAGGUGUGCGUUGCACUGAGGGCAAAUCAAAGGCUGAAAGUUUGUCAAAUUUCCUGUGCUUGGGUAUGGCUGGUUUGUAAGCAAAUGAGGAUACUCUGCCUUUUUACAGUGGUAUAUUGUUUAGUGAGGGGAAGGUACUCUCUUUUUCUAGACGGAAGAUCAUCUGCUUUGUGGCAAGGGGAUAUAUCGUGUUACUUCUCCCCCAUUUUGGUAUGUCUAAAUUCAGUAACAAGAUUAUACUCCUUGUUAAUUUUCCACGGCGUAACUUCGUAACUACGCGUUUCUCGUGUCGAGGCCAAUAUG